rnacentral:misc_RNA from 1 species
GAUGAAGAACGCAGCUAAAUGCGAUACGUAGUGUGAAUUGCAGAAUUCAGUGAAUCAUCGAAUCUUUGAACGCACAUUGCACCUCUCGGUAUUCCGGGAGGUAUGCCUGUUCGAGCGUCAUUUGUACCCUCAAGCUCUGCUUGGUGUUGGGUGUUUGUUCCGCCUCUGUGUGUGAACUCGCCUCAAAACAAUUGGCAGCCGGCGUACUUGUUUCGGAGCGCAGCACAUUUUGCGAUCCAGAUCAACGUACAGCGGCAUCCAAGAAGCCUUAUUUAACGCUCUUGACCUCGGAUCAGGUAGGGAUACCCGCUGAACUUAAGCAUAUCAAUAAGCGGAGGA